rnacentral:rRNA from 1 species
UACGUAGGGUGCAAGCGUUAAUCGGAAUUACUGGGCGUAAAGCGUGCGCAGGCGGUGAUGUAAGACAGAUGUGAAAUCCCCGGGGUCAACCUGGGAACUGCAUUUGUGACUGCAUCGCUGGAGUGCGGCAGAGGGGGAUGGAAUUCCGCGUGUAGCAGUGAAAUGCGUAGAUAUGCGGAGGAACACCGAUGGCGAAGGCAAUCCCCUGGGCCUUACCUGACGCUCAGGUGCGAAAGCUAGGGGAGCGAACAGG